rfam:Tropicibacter naphthalenivorans strain CECT 7648 genome assembly, contig: 0008
GCUCGUCAGGCUCAUAACCUGAAGGUCGUAGGUUCAAAUCCUACUCCCGCAA